CCUACGGGUGGCAGCAGUGAGGUAUAUUGGUCAAUGGCCGGAAGGCUGAACCAGCCAAGCCGCGUGAAGGACGAAGGUGCCAAGCAUUGUAAACUUCUUUUGUCAAGGGACAAAAUCAGGCUCGAGAGCCUGACCGAAGGUACUUGAAGAAAAAGCAUCGGCUAACUCCGUGCCAGCAGCCGCGGUAAUACGGAGGAUGCGAGCGUUAUCCGGAUUUAUUGGGUUUAAAGGGUGCGUAGGCGGACUGUUAAGUCAGCGGUAAAAGCCCGGGGCGAAACCCCGGCGAGCCGCGGAAACUGGCUGUCGUGAGAUGUCGGGAGGUAUGCGGAAUGCGUGGUGUAGCGGGGAAAUGCUUAGAUAUUGCGCAGAACUCCGAUUGCGAAGGCAGCAUACCGGAGGCGAUCUGACGCUGAGGCACGAAAGCGUGGGUAUCGAACAGGAUUAGAUACCCCUGUAGUC
rnacentral:rRNA from 1 species